rnacentral:lncRNA from 12 species
UCCAAGAAGAACAUAUGCCAGGGGCUGCCAUUCUAAAGGGCUGAGCCUUUGUGAGAAGGCAGUGAGGAUUUGGAUUUGGGAUGAUACUGACUGAGCCACAGGAGCCCAAACAUCUGCCAGAGCCAGCAACAGGAAAACUCAACAGCUGAAAUUUGUUGUUAUUCUUCCCAUCUUCCACUGUUUCUCUAACCAGAGAGUACUGUGGCCAGUGUAUAUCCACAAAUAAGGAUUGAGAAUAGAUGAGAAACCUGGAAAGCUUCAUUACAUUUCCAGGACACCAGAGUAAGAAUCGCCAUGCCAGAAACUAUAUUCCUAUAUUAGAAAUAGAUGACACCAUUUUCCAGUCUGAAAUUACAAGUCAGUAUACCUCCAGACAUUUCUCAAUGGAUAAACUGAAAGUUGAACUUGUGAUAGAGGAGAGUUGCAUGAGGCUGGAGGGACACAAUGGAUCCUUGUGAAAAAUGAAGAAAUGGUAAAGUUGCAAAGUUUUAAAUUGAUGUUUACAACACAACUCUUUUGGCUCUAAAUCAGAGUUGUAAAUUUCUUAUACUCGAAGAGUUUGAAACAUUUAAUAUGCUUUUUUUUCUUCCUAAGUAUAGUUUGAUCUUGACAUUAGCUGAAAAAUAAACUAAAAUAAGCUAAGGGAAAACA